UGGGUCGAGGUGCUCACGGGCCCACGAAUGCCAGGCUGCUCCCUGGAGGGUGGUGGCUUGGCUAGUGUUUACCGCUUCCCACACCCGUACCAGGUCCCCCACCGUGCGUAGUUUCCUGCAUGGUGUUAGUGCUGCGUGGUAUGCUUCCAGGCCUGGUCGACGGCUGGGGCCCUCGGUGCUUGCAGCAUUGGUCGCGUUGGGCAGCAGUGGGUUGCCCCACAGCGCCGCCGCCCAGCACCAAUCACCGGGUUCCAGUGGGGUUCUGCCAAUGUCCUCCAAAGGCGGCAAGUGACCCAGUGCCCCCACGAUCCGGCUGAUGUCUGCGG
rnacentral:lncRNA from 1 species